UUAGAAUAUGACACAUCGAUCUAUAGUAGUAAUAAAAGAACUUAUCUCAAGUCCGUAUCCAGCAAGGAUCGAGAUUGUGACUUGAAGGUCAUAAUUUGGAGUCUAACCUGAGGUAGAGAGCAGGUGCACGAUCGAGUACUCUUACAAUCAAUGAGUUUAAGAGAUAGAAUUGAAGGAAUGUAGAAGUUAUAAUUAUUACCUAGGAUGAAGAGAUGACGUAUGGAGUCAUUAUACGACCCUGUUUCGUUGAUGAUUCCGGGACGUAAUCAUCCUAAGGGGGAGAUAAUUGUAACGCCCGCAAAUCUGGGCUAGUCAAAUUAGAGGCAAUAGGGGUCGAAAACGACUUUUCGACAAAAGAUUAUUUAGAAUAAAUAAUCUUAACCAAGUUGUAGAGUAUGUUACAAGGUUUUCGUACAUAUAAAGAACGCCGAAAACCGAGUUAUAACGAAGAAGUUAUGACCCGUUGAAGUUUCGCGACGGAACCGGCACGAUACCGGGAAGCGUAAAUAGUGAAUUUACGAUAGAGCGAGAUUUAGCCUUAGCGAUCUAAACGAAAGUCGUAGAAUAUGUUAAACUAAGAACAUCGAUAAAAAGAACGCCCAAAUCUGACUUCGUAUGAGGAAGUUAUGAUUUUUCUAAGAUUUAGCAUAGCAGUGCACAGCCCGAAAUCUGAAUUUUAGAUCGGUCGAUUUUUAGCCGACGGGAUCUAAAUGAAAGUUGUAGUACUCGUAAAUACCAACGCGUGGAUAUAAAGAACGUCGAUAAUAGAGCUCGUAUGCAAAAGUUAUGGACGAAGCUUAGUCCCUACUUUUCGAGCGCGGCGAAUUCGAUACAGUUUUGUAAAUACGAGAUAGAAUGAGAAUUAGCCAACGAGGUCUAAAUGAGAGUUGAAGAUCUCAUUAAUAGGAACUCAACGGUAAAAAGACAGACAAAAAUGGAGCUCGUAUGCGAAAGUUAUGGACGAAGCUUAGUCCCUACUUUUCGAGCGCGGCGAAUUUGAUACAGUUUUGUAAAUCCGAGAUAGAAUGAGAAUUAGCCAACGAGGUCUAAAUGAAAGUUGAAGAUCUCAUUAAUAGGAACUCAACAGUAAAAAGACAGACAAAAACGGAGCUCGUAUGCAAAAGUUACGGACGAAGCUUGGAGACUACUUUACUAUACACUUCCUAUAAAUACAAGGGUGAACUCCUCAUAUUUUCUUCACACCAUAAGCCUUUCUUUCUCUCUCUAACUUCUCUCUAGCCUCCCUAAACCCCUCCCAAGUCUACGGAACCUCCCUAGCACGAGAAGAAAGCCCCGGAGCGCCCGACGGCUCCGAGAAGAAAAGCUUUCGGCUUGGAAACGCUGCUCCAGCGAAGCCCGGUUUUUAAUAAAAACCCGCUGUAAGUGAGCUACGCCUAUAGUAUAUUUAAUAUAGAUUUUAUUUAAUUAUAGUAACAUUGUUAGGACCUUAAAAUAAUUAUUUAGGCUAUUAUUAUGAGUUAUAUUGAGUGUUAUUUAACGCUUAUAUAAUAGUAAUAAUAGCUAGACUAUUAAAUUAGUCUCGUCAAGCGUUAGACUAAACUCUAGUGGUAAUGAUACUAGGUUUCGUCAAGGGAUAAUUGUUUUAAGAGUAACGAAGUGCUGUCCGAGUGCCGACUCACCACCUUUCAAGUGAGUGCAUAGUCCCUUUCAUCUUACACAUAGAUAUGAAGUAUUUUAUAUAAACUACGUGCUAUGUGUGCACAUUAUCUGAAUACUUGCUGUCUAUGCUGGUUGAACGUUUUAUACAUGUUUUAAAGGACUUAAACUGUAUACGUAUUUUAUAUAUACGAAAAUGUUGGGUAUGAGAUGGGUAGAUGAAUGAUGAGAGAUAGAAGAUGACGUGAGUAUACAUUGGCAGCUAUAGACUUAGUGCCUAUGGGACAAACACCGGUAGCUAUGGACUUAGUACCUUUUAGACGUUGGUAGCUAUGGAUUUAGUACCUGUUGGGAAUUGGUAGCUAUGGACUUAGUACCUAUUAGUUAGACGCUGGUAGCUAAGGAUUUAGUACCUGUAGGAAUUGGUAGCUAUGGACUUAGUACCUGUUGAACAUUGGUAGCUAUGGACUUAGUACCUAUUAGAUAAAGACUGGUAGCUAUGGAUUUAGUACCCGAUGAAUAGACUAUAGCAGCUAUGGAAUUAGUGCUUUAUGAACGAACAUUGGCAGCUAUGGAUUUAGUGCCAGUCCCAUAACCCUGGAAGUAAGGGACUUCGGAAUAAACGAAUGCAGGAUAGAUGACUCUUAGGUUAAAUCCUUAAAGAGUAAAGAAGAUAAUGGGGAUGGGUAAUUGGGUUGAUUGUUUGAUUGAACAUAAUAAUUAUAUUAUUGUGGGUUGAAAACCCUAUGUACUCACCAGGUUUCCCAACCUGACCCACUCAGUUUAUGUAUAUCACAGGUGACGAAGUGAAGUGACAUUACACUGAGAGAUUUAAAAGAGAUGUAGAUCACUAGUGUAAAUCAUUGUAAGUUCUGUUUAUGCUUAUGUUUCGGUAUUAACGAUGACAUCCCAAACAUUUUAAAAUGAAAUAAAUACGUUUCUUCGAAAAUGUUUUAAUAACGUAUUUACCAUGUUUUUCUGGGAACAAAUUCCGCAACCUUUUUAUAAAAUGAAGUACUCUGAUUUUUAUAAAGCAUAAACAAAAUCGGUCUUUUCUGGCCGUGAUUUUGGGGAUGUCACAGUUGGUAUCAGAGCAUUAGUUUAAGCGAACUAGGAAUAUGGAUUUAUUUCUAGACUUAAACUUAGAAUGCUAAGCGAUGAUUGUGAGGUGUGAGCACUAGCUUAUUUUAGGAAUUAUGCCUAAAAUGCUUUUAUGUGCUAAAUGCUUUGUGCAUGAUAUGUUGUUAAUUGUUCGGAUCUAUGGUCUGUUGCCGACCGGAUCUGGAAACCUUAUGUGUUUAGGAUUCUAAACGUACGACUACGGUAUUAGAACUAGCAUGUAAACGUUUCGGAGUGAUAAGGAUGAUUUAAACGUCAAGUAAAGGUCUAAAUUCACCUUAUUCGGUGUAUAGAUCGAGAUGGUAAGGACCCGUAGCGGAAACGUAAACGCAAAUGGGAACAGGAACCAACCCCCAGUGGUUCAGCAAAUACCUGUUGUAGAAGAAGUUGCGCCUGAGCCAGUCACCAUGGCUGGAGUUCAAGCCAUGAUUCGGGCUAUGUUGGCUGAACAAAGGGAAGAAAUGAGACGGAUGUUGAAUAGGGACGAACCUACUAUGCCCAUUGAGCAACCCGAACUGAUUCCCGAGCAAUCUGAGGAAGGGAACUACAGCCGCCAAGUGAGUCAAGUUGGGACUCAAGGUGAGCAAAGGGAUGGCCCAGAAGGGAGAAACAACAAGGAUGGGCGGAUGUACAAGAAUUUCUUGGGUGCGAAACCACCAAGUCUCUCAGGAAGCCCGAAGCCGGUUGAGAUUAUGGAUUGGAUCUCUGAGAUGGAGAUGGUGUUUGAGAGCUGCAGCUGUAACGAGAAACAGAAGACUGUCUUCGCUGUAAGACAACUGAAAACUGGAGUCUUGAGCUGGUGGAAGCUAUUGGCAGAUACGAUGCCACGAGGAGAAGCCUUAAGGAUGUCGUGGGAAGAGUUUUUGGAACAGUUGAAAAUGCAGUACUGCUCGGAGGUAGAUCUGAUAGACCUAAACAACGAGUUUCAGAACCUGAAGAAAGGGAAGAUGAGUGUUGAUGAGUAUGCCACCGCAUUUACCGAGAGGAUGAAGCUAUUUCCCUACUUGGUGCCUACUGAACUCUCCAAGAUUGAUAGGUUUGCUAACGGACUGCCCACUGACUUUGGCCCAAUGGUCAAAAUGGCAACUACCUUGAAAGCAGCUGUUAGGGCAGCUAAGAACGUAGAGGCCCAGAUAAGAGAAAAGGGUCUAGAAAAAGAUAAGGCAGGAGAGAAGCGAAAGUUUGAGGGAUCUUCGAGGUCGAACAAGGAAAGAAAAUUCUCAAAACUUGGAGGAGCAGAUGGAGGUGAAGCAAGAUGGUGUGAUAGAUGCAAGAAGAAGCAUGGUGGGAAGUGCAAUGAAGAAGUGACUUGUUACAAGUGUGGGAGGACUGGUCACUAUUCCAAAGACUGCACACAUGAUGAUAAAGUAUGCUACGGAUGUGGAGGCAAGGGGCAUAUGUCCAGAAACUGCCCAAAGAAAAAUAAAGCAGUAAGACCAGAAACGCCACCAAGGCCAAGGGCAUUUCACAUGAUCCUCGACGAAGCAGAAAACCGUGCGAGGAAUCAAGGAUGAGGACUUCAUAUCAGAAGAUCAAGUUAUGUAGUAGCCAUAGUAUUUUAUGAUGUAGCCUAGUAGAGGCAUAGUCUAGGGUGAACUUGAACACCUAUGUAAUCGUUUCAAGAAUUAAUAUAAAACCUUCGUUUUGUUAUCUGAUGUGUCGAAUGAUUGUGUGAUUUGCUGCAUGGUGACUUGGGAAACUGCGAGACAAUACUUGGGACGAGUAUGAGUAGGUGUGAAUGGUAGUAGAGGCCUAUACUACCGGAAGCACAGGACUCACACUUGGAUCAGGGAAAGUCACAAGGUUACCAAGAAGCUAGUAAUUGAUUUCGUUUUAUUCAAGUGUGUUGUUACCAUCGUUUCGGUAAUGACUAAGAAGAUUGUUGAUAUUCCGACCCUAGUGGUCAUAUCGAAUCGAGUCCGACUACGAUGAGUAUGUUGUGUGGUUCAGAGAACCAAGUUUGAUGUAGCGUCCGACUUAAACCAAACGGUUGAAAUCAAAGCGAUCAAUAGAAGUAUCGCACUCGUUGUUAAAGAAGUUGGUGGCUAGAAAUGCCUAAUGUUAAAGUGUGAUUAUAUCACAUUAGAACAUGAAGGAAGGCAUAGUCUGUUUUAGAAUUUAACUCUAAGAGACCUAAGUCUAAGUGUUGCAACAUACGAUGAUAGGUCAUUAGAAUAUGACACAUCGAUCUAUAGUAGUAAUAAAAGAACUUAUCUCAAGUCCGUAUCCAGCAAGGAUCGAGAUUGUGACUUGAAGGUCAUAAUUUGGAGUCUAACCUGAGGUAGAGAGCAGGUGCACGAUCGAGUACUCUUACAGUCAAUGAGUUUAAGAGAUAGAAUUGAAGGAAUGUAGAAGUUAUAAUUAUUACCUAGGAUGAAGAGAUGACGUAUGGAGUCAUUAUACGACCCUGUUUCGUUGAUGAUUCCGGGACGUAAUCAUCCUAAGGGGGAG
rnacentral:lncRNA from 1 species